ACACGCCAGUUGCGAGGGAAGA
rnacentral:snRNA from 1 species